rnacentral:rRNA from 1 species
UACGAAGGGGGCUAGCGUUGUUCGGAAUUACUGGGCGUAAAGGGCGCGUAGGCGGCCCUCCAAGUCAGAUGUGAAAGCCCCGGGCUUAACCUGGGAAUAGCAUUUGAGACUGAAGGGCUUGAGUUUCGGAGAGGUGGGUGGAAUUCCCAGUGUAGAGGUGAAAUUCGUAGAUAUUGGGAAGAACACCGGUGGCGAAGGCGGCCCACUGGACGAACACUGACGCUGAGGCGCGAAAGCGUGGGGAGCAAACAGG